AAAGUUUGGUGUUGUAGCAACACAAUACCGGAUGAGUAAAGUGGCGUACGGGUGAGUAACACGUGGAUAACCUGCCUCCGAAUGGGGAAUAACCCUGGGAAACCGGGGCUAAUACCGCAUAACAUCUUAGUACUUCGGUAUCGGGAUUGAAACCUUGAAAAGGGGUUUGGAGAGGGGUCCGCGGCUGAUUAGCUAGUUGGUGAGGUAAUGGCCCACCAAGGCUUUGAUCGGUAGCCGGCCUGAGAGGGCGGACGGCCACACUGGAACUGAAACACGGUCCAGACUCCUACGGGAGGCAGCAGUGGGGAAUUUUGCGCAAUGGGGGAAACCCUGACGCAGCAACGCCGCGUGGAUGAUGAAGCCCCUUGGGGUGUAAAAUCCUUUCGGCAGGGACGAAACUAGAGCAAUCUAGCGGACGGUACCUGAAGAAGAAGCCCCGGCUAACUCCGUGCCAGCAGCCGCGGUAAUACGGGGGGGGCGAGCGUUGUUCGGAAUUAUUGGGCGUAAAGGGAGCGUAGGCGGUGCGGUAAGUUUGGUGUGAAACCUCCAGGCUUAACUUGGAGCUGGCAUCGAAUACUGCCGUGCUAGAGUGUGGGAGAGGAGAGUGGAAUUCCCGGUGUAGCGGUGAAAUGCGUAGAUAUCGGGAGGAACAUCGGUGGCGAAGGCGGCUCUCUGGACCACAACUGACGCUGAGGCUCGAAAGCUAGGGGAGCAAACAGGAUUAGAUACCCUGGUAGUCCUAGCUGUAAACGAUGAACACUUGGUAUAGCGGGUAUCGAAUCCCGCUGUGCCGGAGCUAACGCA
rnacentral:rRNA from 1 species